CAGUAGCCGCGGGAAUACGAAGGGGGCUAGCGUUGUUCGGAAUUACUGGGCGUAAAGCGCACGUAGGCGGACAUUUAAGUCAGGGGUGAAAUCCCGCGGCUCAACCCCGGAACUGCCUUUGAUACUGGGUGUCUAGAGUAUGGAAGAGGUGAGUGGAAUUCCGAGUGUAGAGGUGAAAUUCGUAGAUAUUCGGAGGAACACCAGUGGCGAAGGCGGCUCACUGGUCCAUUACUGACGCUGAGGUGCGAAAGCGUGGGGAGCAAACAGGAUUAGAUACCCCUGUAGUCCCUGUCUCUUAUAC
rnacentral:rRNA from 1 species